AACGCUGGCGGUAGGCUUAACACAUGCAAGUCGUGCGAGAAAGUACCUUCGGGUGCGAGUAGAGCGGCGGACGGGUGAGUAACGCGUAGGAAUCUACCUAGUAGAAGGGGAUAGCCCGGGGAAACUCGGAUUAAUACCGUAUACCUCCUUAGGGAGAAAGAGGGCUUAGCUUUGAUGCUCUCGCUAUUAGAUGAGCCUGCGUAAGAUUAGCUUGUUGGUGAGGUAAUGGCUCACCAAGGCUUCGAUCAGUAGCUGGUCUGAGAGGAUGAUCAGCCACACUGGGACUGAGACACGGCCCAGACUCCUACGGGAGGCAGCAGUGGGGAAUUUUCCGCAAUGGGCGAAAGCCUGACGGAGCAACGCCGCGUGAGAGACGAAGGCCUCUGGGCUGUAAACCUCUUUUCUCAAGGAAGAAGAUAUGACGGUACUUGAGGAAUAAGCCACGGCUAAUUCCGUGCCAGCAGCCGCGGUAAUACGGGAGUGGCAAGCGUUAUCCGGAAUUAUUGGGCGUAAAGCGUCCGCAGGCGGCUUUUCAAGUCUGCCGUUAAAGCGUGGAGCUUAACUCCAUCAUGGCAGUGGAAACUGAAAGGCUUGAGUAUGGUAGGGGCAGAGGGAAUUCCCGGUGUAGCGGUGAAAUGCGUAGAUAUCGGGAAGAACACCAGUGGCGAAGGCGCUCUGCUGGGCCAUUACUGACGCUCAUGGACGAAAGCCAGGGGAGCGAAAGGGAUUAGAUACCCCUGUAGUCCUGGCCGUAAACGAUGAACACUAGGUGUCGGGGGAAUCGACCCCUUCGGUGUCGUAGCUAACGCGUUAAGUGUUCCGCCUGGGGAGUACGCACGCAAGUGUGAAACUCGAAGGAAUUGACGGGGGCCCGCACAAGCGGUGGAGUAUGUGGUUUAAUUCGAUGCAACGCGAAGAACCUUACCAGGGUUUGACAUCCUGCGAACCUCUUAGAAAUUUGAGGGUGCCUUCGGGAAUGCAGUGACAGGUGGUGCAUAGCUGUCGUCAGCUCGUGUCGUGAGAUGUUGGGUUAAGUCCCGCAACGAGCGCAACCCACGUUUUUAGUUGCCAGCAUUUAGUUGGGCACUCUAGAAAGACCGCUGGUGAUAAACCGGAGGAAGGUGUGGAUGACGUCAAGUCAUCAUGCCCCUUACACCCUGGGCUACACACGUACUACAAUGCUACGGACAAAGGGCAGCAAACUCGCGAGAGCUAGCAAAUCCCAU
rnacentral:rRNA from 2 species